rnacentral:rRNA from 1 species
UACGAAGGGGGCGAGCGUUGUUCGGAUUUACUGGGCGUAAAGCGCACGUAGGCGGAUCUUAAGUCAGAGGUGAAAUCCCAAGGCUCAACCUUGGAACUGCCUUUGAUACUGGGGAUCUUGAGUCCGGGAGAGGUGAGUGGAACUGCGAGUGUAGAGGUGAAAUUCGUAGAUAUUCGCAAGAACACCGGUGGCGAAGGCGGGUCUCUGGGCC